CACGUAGGCGGUGAAUCGGGUUGAAAGUGAAAGUCGCCAAAAAGUGGCGGAAUGCUCUCGAAACCAAUUCACUUGAGUGAGACAGAGGAGAGUGGAAUUUCGUGUGUAGGGGUGAAAUCCGUAGAUCUACGAAGGAACGCCAAAAGCGAAGGCAGCUCUCUGGGUCCCUACCGACGCUGGGGUGCGAAAGCAUGGGGAAGCGAACA
rnacentral:rRNA from 1 species